GAUGAACGCUGACAGAAUGCUUAACACAUGCAAGUCUACUUGAAGCUAACUUCGGUUAGUGGAGGGUGGCGGACGGGUGAGUAACGCGUAAAGAACUUGCCUCACAGUUUGGGACAACAUUUGGAAACGAAUGCUAAUACUAAAUAUUAUGAUACUUCUGCAUGGAAAAUCAUGAAAGCUAUAUGCGCUGUGAGAGAGCUUUGCGUCCCAUUAGCUAGUUGGAGAGGUAACGGCUCACCAAGGCGAUGAUGGGUAGCCGGCCUGAGAGGGUGAACGGCCACAAGGGGACUGAGACACGGCCCUUACUCCUACGGGAGGCAGCAGUGGGGAAUAUUGGACAAUGGACCAAAAGUCUGAUCCAGCAAUUCUGUGUGCACGAUGAAGUUUUUCGGAAUGUAAAGUGCUUUCAGUUGGGAAGAAGCAAGUGACGGUACCAACAGAAGAAGCGACGGCUAAAUACGUGCCAGCAGCCGCGGUAAUACGUAUGUCGCAAGCGUUAUCCGGAUUUAUUGGGCGUAAAGCGCGUCUAGGUGGUUAUGUAAGUCUGAUGUGAAAAUGCGGGGCUCAACUCCGUAUUGCGUUGGAAACUGUAUGACUAGAGUACUGGAGAGGUAAGCGGAACUACAAGUGUAGAGGUGAAAUUCGUAGAUAUUUGUAGGAAUGCCGAUGGGGAAGCCAGCUUACUGGACAGAUACUCACGCUAAAGCGCGAAAGCGUGGGUAGCAAACAGG
rnacentral:rRNA from 1 species